rnacentral:rRNA from 1 species
GUAGGUGGCAAGCGUUGUCCGGAAUUAUUGGGCGUAAAGCGCGCGCAGGCGGGUUCUUUAAGCCUGAUGUGAAAGCCCACGGGCUCAACCGUGGAGGGUCAUUGGAAACUGGAGAACUUGAGUACAGAAGAGGAAAGCGGAAUUCCACGUGUAGCGGUGAAAUGCGUAGAGAUGUGGAGGAACACCAGUGGCGAAGGCGGCUUUCUGGUCUGUAACUGACGCUGAGGCGCGAAAGCGUGGGGAGCAAACAGGAUUAGAUACCCUGGUAGUCCACGCCGUAAACGAUGAGUGCUAAGUGUUAGGGGGUUUCCGCCCCUUAGUGCUGCAGCUAACGCAUUAAGCACUCCGCCUGGGGAGUACGACCGCAAGGUUG